rnacentral:tRNA from 1 species
ACUUAAAUAGUUUAAUAAAAAUAUUGAUUUGUGGAGUCAAAAAUAUGAGUAAAAUAAAUAUCAUUUUAAGUU